AUCAUUGUGCUGUUGGCCAUCGCCAUCUGGCUGCUGUGGAACAUUUUUAACAUGCUCCACGGCAACAACGCACAAUAAGGAGUGGCCCGUCAAGGAACGCAUUCUCCAAUCCAGCGGCAAACAUCCCCUCGCGGACACCAUCGAGACGCAGGUUGGCGUGCCCACCUCCAAGAAGGUGUUCUGGACAACGUUGAGCCAAGCGAGCCAAGCCACACAAACCACAG